UCCGGUUUGGCACCGGCAGUCCCCCGAGAGUCCUCAGCAGUUUGCACCCUGUUAGCAACACGGGGCGGGGGUUGCGCUCGUUGCGGGACUUAACCCAACAUCUCACGACACGAGCUGACGACAGCCAUGCAGCACCUGUCACCGGUCCAGCCGAACUGAAGGGAUCCAUCUCUGGAUCCCGCGACCGGGAUGUCAAACGCUGGUAAGGUUCUGCGCGUUGCUUCGAAUUAGACCACAUGCUCCACCGCUUGUGCAGGCCCCCGUCAAUUUCUUUGAGUUUUAGCCUUGCGGCCGUACUUCCCAGGCGGGGCACUUAAUGCGUUAGCUGCGGCACAGGAGGAGUCGACACCUCCCACACCUAGUGCCCAUCGUUUACGGCGUGGACUAC
rnacentral:misc_RNA from 1 species